rnacentral:rRNA from 1 species
UACGGAGGGUGCAAGCGUUAUCCGGAUUUACUGGGUUUAAAGGGUGCGUAGGUUGCAAUAUAAGUCAGUGGUGAAAGGUCGUAGCCUAACUACGGAUGUGCCAUUGAUACUGUAUAGCUAGAGUUGACACGAGGUACUUGGAAUGCGUCAUGUAGCGGUGAAAUGCUUAGAGAUGACGUAGAACACCAAUAGCGAAGGCAGAGUACCAGUGUACGACUGACACUGAGGCACGAAAGCGUGGGGAGCGAACAGG